AGAGUUUGAUCCUGGCUCAGGACGAACGCUGGCGGCGUGCAUAACGCAUGCAAGUCGUGCGCGUCCGUCCCUUCGGGGGCGGAUGAGCGGCGAACGGGUGAGUAACGCGUGAGCAACCUGCCGCCUGGUGGGGGAUAACCUUUGGGAAACCGGGGCUAAUACCGCAUAUGGUCGGGUGAUCGAUGGAUCGCCCGAGCAAAGCCGAGAGGCGCCGGGUGAGGGGCUCGCGGCCCAUCAGCUAGUAGGUGUGGUAACGGCGCACCUAGGCUAUGACGGGUAGCUGGUCUGAGAGGAUGAUCAGCCACACUGGGACUGAGACACGGCCCAGACUCCUACGGAGGCAGCAGCGAGGAAUUUUCCACAAUGGGCCGUAUGGCCUGAUGGAGCAACGCCGCGUGGGGGACGAAGCGUCUCGGCGUGUAAACCCCUUUUGGGCGGGAAGAUGAUGACGGUACCGCCCGAAUAAGCCCCGGCUAACUACGUGCCAGCAGCCGCGGUAAUACGUAGGGGGCGAGCGUUGUCCGGAUUUAUUGGGCGUAAAGAGCGCGCAGGCGGCCCGCCAAGUCACCGCGUGAAAUCCCCCGGCUCAACCGGGGAGGGUCGGGUGAAACUGGCGGACUUGAGGAUGGGAGAGGGGUGCGGAAUUCCCGGUGUAGUGGUGAAAUGCGUAGAUAUCGGGAGGAACACCAGUGGCGAAGGCGGCACCCUGGCCCAUACCUGCGCUGAGGCGCGAAGGCCGGGGGAGCGAACGGGAUUAGAUACCCUAGUAGUCC
rnacentral:rRNA from 1 species